rnacentral:sRNA from 1 species
GGGCAUAAAAGCUGGCCACCGAAGCCAGGGGUGCCAGCCAAGUCGGGUACUGUUCUGAACUGUGGUGACUUUUUUCUUUUUGCUGUUGGAGAUAAAUGUUGGUGCUGCUUACUCUCUGGGCCUGCACUCCCUUUAUGAGCUGUAACACUCACCGCCAAGGUGUGUAGCUUCACUCCUCAAGUCAGUGAGACCAUAAGCCCACCGGGAGGAACCAACAACUGCGCUACGUGCCACCUUUAAGAGCUUAACACUCACUGCGAAGGUCUGCGGCCUCACCGGAAGGAAGGAAGAAACAACUCCCGACGCGCCACCUUUAAGAGCUUCUCACUGCGAAGGUCUCCGGCCUCACCUGAAGUCAAGCAAGACCACGAACCCGCCAGAAGGAAGAAACUCCGGACAUAUUUGAACAUCAGAAGGAACCAAUUCCGGACACACUGUUUGCAGGGAGGUGUAGACGCUGAUUACCUUUUCCAGUCAUUUUAAAAAUUCGGGCGCACAGCGGCCCUACAGGAGGGGCUGAGGCGGGCAGUCUCUGUGCCGCUGACGCUAGCGGAGACGGUGGCCUCGCUAUGGCCAGCGCUGCAGGAACUGGCCCGGUGUGGGAACCUGGCCUGCCGGUCAGACCUCCAGGUGGCGGCCAAAGCCCUGGAGACGGGCGUGUUCGGCGCAUAUUUCAACGUGCUCAUCAACCUGAGGGACAUCACAGACGAGGCAUUUAAGGACCAGAUCUACCAUCGCGUCUCCAGCCUCCUUCAGGAAGCCAAGACUCAGGCUGCACUGGUGCUGGACUGCUUGGAGACCCGGCAGGAGUGACGGUGCGGGAGGCCUCUCUGGGCUCUGUGGCCCCUCUCUCGCCCAUCCCCAGAGGGCAGAGCUGUGACCUCGAAACCCUGGGAACAGCAGGACCUUCGACGCUGGAAGGAGGAUAGUCUUGCUUCCCAGGUGCAGCUCCCGGUGGGUCUGGGCAGCCCCACGGAGCACGGUACUGGCCCCGUCCUCAGUUCCCGUCCACCUUUCAACCAGCAGCUCCUGGGAGACUUUUCCUCCCAGCCUCAGCUCCCUGCCAGGCCAGCUUCCUGUCUCCAGAGAAGUUCUCCAUUAAAAAACAAUUUAACAAAUCA